UAGUGGUUCUUGCUCUUUCAGAAAGUACCAUGGCUGCACUCACGCUCCAGUGAUAAGGAAGCUACCAUCAAAGUGCCUCAGUUCCUUAUAACCAGGCAAGACUGGUGGAAGGUUGAAAACUAGGAAGGAUUAUCAGGAAACAGGAAAGGGAAGCCAUAUGGAAGAUUAAAAGUGAAAAUAUGAGAUGAACCAUCAUGUGCUUCUGGCUGGAGGUAUCUCAUGAUCCCCAGAGAAUAGAACUCUCUUCUUGCUGAGAAGUAAACUGAACCACAGCUCAUUCACCAGGAAAAUGGAGCACUUGCCUCAUAGAUGGUGAUGACUUACUAACGAGAGGCAGAAGCUGAAGCUGCACAUGCAUAAAAUCAGAAGUUAGUGUCUAUACAUGAGAGAGAACAUGUUGUGAUUGUCUUCCUAAUAAUCCUCAAUUGCCUCAUUCAUCUUUUCCAAUUUAUUCCAUCUUUCUAUAGGUUUCAUUUUUGAUUACCUAAUAAAAUUCCAUUAAAUUUAUAAUAGAGUUUAAUUAUACAUCUGUCUGUAUUGAUGAACAUAUAGACUGAUACCUUUUAUUUGCUUUUGUGAAAAUAGUAGAAAGAAUAGUGGUAAACAAGGAUAUGUUAAUAUCUCUUUGCUAUGAUAUGGAUUCCCAGUGUGUGUGUGUGUGUGUGUGUGUGUGUGUGUGUGUACAUAUACAUAUGAUUAGCUAGGCCACAGGAUAGAUCUAGUUUUAGUAAUUUUAGAAACCAACACUAAGGGUGCAUACUGAAUCCCUGUUCUCCAAAAUACAUCUAAACAACCAAAGAACAACAACAAAAACCCCAAAUGAUUUUAUUAAGAUUACCACAAUCGAAGUUCUCCUCCAACAGUGAGUAAGGCCUCCCUCAUUCACAUUUAAGCAGAACUUGUUGUCCUUUUCUUUCUUUUCUUUUUUUUUUUCCUUUUUUUGGUUUUUCCAGGCAGAAUUUCUCUGUAUAACUCUGGCUGUCCUGGAACUCACACCAUAGACCAAGCUGGCCUCGAACUCAGAAAUCUGCCUGCCUCUGCCUCCCAAGUGCUGGGAUUAAAGGCGUGCGCCACCAUUGCCCAGCAGUUUUGGGUUUUUCAUUUUGUUUUUCUGUUGUUGUUUAUGUGAUUUCUCUUUCACACUCUUUUAUUUCUUUUGACCAUUAAGCCCUGAUUCAUCGGGACUACAAUCAGGCAGCUCAGGAUCUUUCCCAUGGGUUGUCAAAGUGCUCCUCUCUGGGAGGAACAGGCU
rnacentral:lncRNA from 1 species